rnacentral:misc_RNA from 1 species
GCGGAGGAAAAGAAACCAACAGGGAUUGCCUCAGUAACGGCGAGUGAAGCGGCAACAGCUCAAAUUUGAAAUCUGGCCCCCUCGGGGUCCGAGUUGUAAUUUGUAGAAGAUGCUUCGGGUGUGGCCCCGGUCUAAGUUCCUUGGAACAGGACGUCACAGAGGGUGAGAAUCCCGUAUGUGACCGGUGGCCUCCCCCCGUGUGAAGCUCUUUCGACGAGUCGAGUUGUUUGGGAAUGCAGCUCAAAAUGGGUGGUAAAUUUCAUCUAAAGCUAAAUAUUGGCCAGAGACCGAUAGCGCACAAGUAGAGUGAUCGAAAGAUGAAAAGCACUUUGGAAAGAGGGUUAAACAGUACGUGAAAUUGUUGAAAGGGAAGCGCUUGCAACCAGACUUGCGCGCGGUCGAUCAUCCGGGGUUCUCCCCGGUGCACUCGGCCGUGCGCAGGCCAGCAUCGGUUUGGGCGGCCGGACAAAGGCCUCGGGAAUGUGGCUCCUUCGGGAGUGUUAUAGCCCGAGGUGCAAUGCGGCCAGCCCGGACCGAGGACCGCGCUUCGGCUAGGAUGCUGGCGUAAUGGUUGUAAGCGGCCCGUCUUGAAACACGGACCAAGGAGUCUAACAUCUAUGCGAGUGUUUGGGUGGCAAACCCAUCCGCGUAAUGAAAGUGAACGGAGGUGAGAACCCUUAAGGGCGCAUCAUCGACCGAUCCUGAUGUCUUCGGAUGGAUUUGAGUAAGAGCAUAGCUGUUGGGACCCGAAAGAUGGUGAACUAUGCCUGAAUAGGGUGAAGCCAGAGGAAACUCUGGUGGAGGCUCGCAGC